rnacentral:rRNA from 1 species
GACAUCCAGCGAACGUUUCCAGAGAUGGAUUGGUGCCUUCGGGAACGCUGAGACAGGUGCUGCAUGGCUGUCGUCAGCUCGUGUUGUGAAAUGUUGGGUUAAGUCCCGNAACGAGCGCAACCCUUAUCCUUUGUUGCCAGCGAUUCGGUCGGGAACUCAAAGGAGACUGCCGGUGAUAAACCGGAGGAAGGUGGGGAUGACGUCAAGUCAUCAUGGCCCUUACGAGUAGGGCUACACACGUGCUACAAUGGCGCAUACAAAGAGAAGCGACCUCGCGAGAGCAAGCGGACCUCAUAAAGUGCGUCGUAGUCCGGAUCGGAGUCUGCAACUCGACUCCGUGAAGUCGGAAUCGCUAGUAAUCGUGGAUCAGAAUGCCACGGUGAAUACGUUCCCGGGCCUUGUACACACCGCCCGUCACACCAUGGGAGUGGGUUGCAAAAGAAGUAGGUAGCUUAACCUUCGGGAGGGCGCUUACCACUUUGUGAUUCAUGACUGGGGUGAAGUCGUAACAAGGUAAGCGUAGCGAG